AAUCAACGCUGGCGGCGCGCUUAACACAUGCAAGUCGAACGAGAAAGUGGAGCAAUCCAUGAGUAAAGUGGCGUACGGGUGAGUAACACGUGGAUCAUCUGCCUCUUAGUGGGGAAUAACUCUGGGAAACUGGAGCUAAUACCGCAUAAGCCCUAGGAAAGGGGAAAGCGUUGUCGUAAAAAACGACGCGCUGAGAGAGGAGUCCGCGGCCGAUUAGCUAGUUGGUAGGGUAAAGCCUACCAAGGCUUUGAUCGGUAGCCGGCCUGAGAGGGCACACGGCCA
rnacentral:rRNA from 1 species